CUCAUUGACAUGUGCCUUCUGUGUGCCUACCCAGUGCAUCCUCCAGGCAGGCUGCAGCCUGUCUGUGGCUUCCUGCCUCCUUCCUGCUUCACAGCACUCUGGCACUCCUGCCAGCCACAGUCCUGUUCUUCUAUCACCCCACAUGAUCUUGAAGAACUCCGCUGCUCACUGCAGACUGACUGGGAGAAGGGGAUGAGAAGCCCCUGAUGCUGUCCUUGGUGCUCUCCUGUUGAACAUAAAGAAUUUCACAGAACAAACAUCAGACCAGGCCCCUGCUACCAAGGUGCAAUAAACCCAAGCAUUCAACUGCAGGGAUGCUCCGGAUGCACUUUGACUGGAGGGCAGUGACAACUCCCAGCAACUCGUGAUUCAGUAUCAAUAGUCUUCAAGGCCACUCCCAGGAUGGAGCAGAAGUGGCAGGCGUUUUGCCAAACUCUCAGCUGUACUGUGUUUCCUGCUGCUGCUGCUGCUGCUGCUAAGUCGCUUCAGUCGUAUCCGACUCUGUGCGACCCCAGAGACGGCAGCCCACUAGGAUCCCUCAUCCCUGGGAUUCUCCAGGCAAGAACACAGGAGUGGGUUGCCAUUUCCUUCUCCAAUGCAUGAAAGUGAAAAGUGAAAGUGAAGUCACUCAGUUGUGUCCGACUCUUAGUGACCCCAUGGACUGCAGCCUACCAGGCU
ensembl:lncRNA